rnacentral:rRNA from 1 species
GACAGAGGGUGCAAACGUUGUUCGGAAUUACUGGGCGUAAAGCGCGUGUAGGCGGCUUGGAAAGUCGGGUGUGAAAGCCCUGGGCUCAACCUAGGAAGUGCACUCGAAACUGCCGAGCUUGAGUUCUGGAGAGGAAGGCGGAAUUCUCGGUGUAGAGGUGAAAUUCGUAGAUAUCGAGAGGAACACCGGUGGCGAAGGCGGCCUUCUGGACAGCAACUGACGCUGAGACGCGAAAGCGUGGGGAGCAAACAGG